rnacentral:lncRNA from 1 species
AUGAAACUAAAAACAUUUUCAUUUGUACAGACACAUCUCACUCAUAUUCGUUCCUCUUUCUUCUAUUCUCUCUUUAGUUUGUGUCUACAGCAGCUACUGUAUAUACACCCCAAAGGCUCUUUUAAGAGCCACAUCACGAGAGCGUCUUUGGCUUUAUUUUGUGUCACCCUCCACUGCCGCCUCCACAGAGUUUUUUCCCUGCCAUCUAUUACUUUAAGCAAGGCACAUCUAUGGCCAAUCCUCUGUGCCAUUCAUCAGACACCAUCAGAGUUUUUCCAGUGAAACCGACACUUGGUCCAUCCAAGCCAACAAACCCGAAUUUCAUGAAGAAUCCAUAAACGACAAUCAAGAAGUUCUUGGAAGUGCUUAGAAGGGGGAAAAAAAAUAACAUUAACUUUCUUGAGAACUAGAAAUAUAAAUUUACUGAUUUACUGACAUUUACUUCACAUGUCGACAAAAACUGUUACCGUAAUUAGGAUGUUGCUCAUUAACCACAUUCAUGAAAUAUUCAGAUUUUUUUCCUAUGAUGUACAAGGCUUUGAUUUUCAAAUUAUGCCUUUACUGUUUUAUAUACAAUAAUGAAUCCAUAUUUUAAUGUUUAAUAUACUGUACAUACUUAAAUUCAUUAAACUCUGAUGGCGUUCGAGAUAAAGGUAUUAAACCUCCUGAAAAAUAUUCAGAAUAUUAUUCCCUAUAAUGCACAAGGCUUGAUUUUCCAUACCAUGUCUUUGUUUUUAUACAGUACUGAGACCAAAAAAAAAAGUCUUAAAAAAAGUCUUCCGCACGGGAAAUUCAAAGCAUAAACAAAUGGUUUACAUUCCACAAACUUUAACAGCCCUAAAUAUUUGUUCGCAUGUGUUAAAAGGUUAACUUGACAGUCCCAUAUAUUACGAUUUGACAAGCUGAUCGUAAAAGUAUGCUGAAGUGACUAUUUAUGGUUAUGCAUGAAUGUAUAUGUAUUAAUUUAUGAAGUAGAGUAUUUUAUUUAACUGCUCAUGUAAUUUAAUCUGAAUUUCAUGCUCCUUAAGCUACUAUUUAUUUCUUUGUUACUUUUACAGUAUGACUGAGGCAGAAGAAGAGCUAGUAGUAAUUUUAUAGUUAUAGGUAAUUUAGUUAAUUUAUUUGUUCAUGCUACAUGCUUGUCUUUUGUGUGUUGUUUUUAUUAUAUAUAUAUAUAUAUAUAUUGAUAAUUAAAUGUAUUGGAAUUUGACAAUAAAACUAUGGAUAUGAACAUGGAUUGUGGACUGAUUUAUUUAUAUAAAUUUACUGUUUUAUCUGUAACUAUGUACCAAUGGAGAAAAAGGUAAGAAUUAAUAAACGUGGUGAAUUGGGUUAGGUUCCCCUAACGUUAGUCUAACGUUCCCCUAACGUUAGUCUAACGUUCCCCUAACGUUCUACAAACCAGAAACUAACGUUCUAUUUCCGUAAAGAAAACUUUCCUGGCUAACCAAAAACUAACCUUAAAAAUAACGUUUUGGGAACCAAAAACUAACGUUCCCAGAACGUUUUGGGAACCAAAAACUAACGUUCCCAGAACGUUCUGGGAACUAAGAAUUGUUAGUAAGGUCAAAACCUAAAUCAUCAAUACUAAUGCUAUUUCACGACCAAUUCUUAUGUAUUUUACGAGGUGGCUAAUUCGUACGACUUCUGUAACCUCAAAUCGAUAACUUUCUAAACUACAGUCUUCGUAAGACUGUACGAAAAUCUGCUGCUGUUUUAUUGAGGUUUUGUAUUGGUUAGAGUGCGGAAGUAGUUGAAAUGAACUUAUGCGGGCUCUCAAUAGUUCUUUGGUUCUGGGAGUGAUAUUAUUUAAUAUUUUAAUAUGUAAUAUUUUGAGGGGAUUUCUGGUAUAAAAAUAUUUGUGCAGUAAUUAUGAACCAUUAAUAACAAAUUUAAAUAUGACAUUUUCUGCAGUUAGUGUAAAAUUAAGUUUAAAGAUAAAACGUUUUUAAAUUGCAAUGCAAAGAGACAAAUUGGAGGCAUCUGGUGGCCCAAAAAAAUUCAAAAUUUUAUCCAUAUGCCACGGUUUAACCACUAGAUGCCUGUAUGGCUGUUUAAUAAGUAUAGUCUAGUUGCUCAAGAGUCAUAAUUGUUUUAUUUAUUGUUAUUAUUAUUAUUAUUAUUUAAAAGGUUACUUAUAUACUAAUGUUGAUUUAUGAUAAUCACAUAAACAUACUUAAGUGAAUAUUAAUAAAUUCAAGCAAAUAUUGAAUUUAACCCAAUAAAGAAGUUUAAAACAGUGUUUAAAUAACAAAGCAUCCAAUUGGUUAGAGUGCGGAAGUAGUGAAAUGAACUAAUGUUAGGGAUACAGGCCUAAUCAGAGCCGUUGAAAAACGCAGCUGCGACAUUGAUCUGGCCGUUAUGCGGGCUCUCAAUAGUUCUUUGGUUCUGGGAGUGAUAUUAUUUAAUAUUUUAAUAUGUAAUAUUUUGAGGGGAUUUCUGGUAUAAAAAUAUUUGUGCAGUAAUUAUGAACCAUUAAUAACAAAUUUAAAUAUGACAUUUUCUGCAGUUAGUGUAAAAUUAAGUUUAAAGAUAAAACGUUUUUAAAUUGCAAUGCAAAGAGACAAAU